rnacentral:tRNA from 1 species
GCCUGAGUAGCUCAGUUGGUAGAGCACAUCUUUUGUAAAGAUGCUGUCGCGAGUUCGAGUCCCGCCUCAGGCU